rnacentral:rRNA from 1 species
GACGAACGCUGGCGGCGUGCUUAACACAUGCAAGUCGAACGAAGUGGCGAACGGGUGAGUAAUACGUGGGUAACCUGCCCUCCUUUUUGGGAUAAGCCUUGGAAACGGGGUCUAAUACCGAAUAAAGGGGGAUGGGCUCGCGGCCUAUCAGCUUGUUGGUGGGGUGAUGGCCUACCAAGGCGGUGACGGGUAGCCGGCCUGAGAGGGUGACCGGCAACGUGGUACCUGAGAUACGGCCCAGAGUGGUACGGGAGGCAGAAGUUGGGGAUGUUGCGCAAGGGGCAAAAGCCCGUGGCAGCGACGCCGCGUGGGGGAUGAAGGCUUUCGGUUUGUAAAGCUGUUUGGCAAUCGAAAGGGUAGCUGGAGAAGAAGCGCCGGCUAACUACGUGCCAGCAGCCGCGGUAAUAC